CUCCAUCCUACUCCAUUCCCAUAAUAAAACUCAGUGAUUAAGAAAAAAUUAGGCUUCUAAGUUUAUGUGCCUAGAAUAUUUCUCUUAAUAGUGUUUCACUGAAUGUAAAGUUAAUGCAGUAUCUUUUUUUCUUUUCUAGAUAAUAAAAAGAAUGAAUGCUAUGCUUGACAAAAUGCCUCAAGAUGCCCGGAAAAUACUCUCUAACCAAGAAAUGUUAAUUCUCAUGAGUAGUAUGGGAGAAAGGAUUUUAGAUGCUGGAGAUUAUGACUUACAGGUAGGCAUUGUAGAAGCUUUGUGUAGAAUGACCACAGAAAAACAAAGACAAGAACUGGCACAUCAGUGGUUUUCAAUGGAUUUUAUUGCUAAGGCAUUUAAAAGAAUUAAGGACUCUGAAUUUGAAACAGAUUGCAGGAUAUUUCUCAACCUUGUAAAUGGCAUGCUUGGAGACAAAAGAAGGGUCUUUACAUUUCCUUGUUUAUCAGCAUUUCUUGAUAAAUAUGAGCUGCAAAUACCAUCAGAUGAAAAACUUGAGGAAUUUUGGAUUGAUUUUAAUCUUGGGAGUCAGACUCUCUCAUUCUA
rnacentral:sRNA from 1 species